GAGCAAAGGCUGGAGGAAAAGCUACAGAAGAAGUGACUAUGGGAAUAAUGGGAAAUUUAUGCAUGAGUCAAUGGGUAUCCCACAGACUAUCUUCCAUUCACUAUGGAAUACUUCUUUCUCAUCUGAUGAAGUGACAUCUGAGUCACCAUAUUUGCAGCCUUUGCAAUAACAUUUAAGUCUACAUAUAAAGAAAAUAAAAUGCCCUAAUUAAUUUUCUGCAUCACUGAGAUGGAGCUUCAGUCAAAUGAGGAAGGCAGACGUUGCAGAUGUCAGAGCAAGCCAUCCUAGAACCAAGCCUCCAGCACUAUUUGAGAGCAAAAGAAAAAAUACGUUGGCCACCAGAAAAGGAACUGAGCUUUACUGCAAUAGAAGUCAAGAAGUAACUGCUGAAGUCACUGGUAUAAGCUAA